rnacentral:rRNA from 1 species
CCUACGGGUGGCAGCAGUAGGGAAUCUUCCACAAUGGGCGGAAGCCUGAUGGAGCAACGCCGCGGGGGUGAAGAAGGUCUUCGGAUCGUAAAACCCUGUUGUUCGAGAAGAAAGUGCUUGAGAGUAACUGUUCACGUUUCGACGGUAUCUAACCAGAAAGCAACGGCUAACUACGUGCCAGCAGCCGCGGUAAUACGUAGGGGGCAAGCGGUAUCCGGAUUUAUUGGGCGUAAAGGGAACGCAGACGGUCAUUUAGUUCGGAUGUGAAAGCCUUCGGCUUAACCGGAGUAGUGCUUUGGUAACUAGGAAACUUGAGUGCAGAAGAGGAGAGUGGAACUCCAUGGGUAGCGGUGAAAUGCGUAGAUAUAUGGAAGAACACCAGUGGCGAAAGCGGCUCUCUGGUCUGUAACUGACGCUGAGGUUCGAAAGCGUGGGUAGCAAACAGGAUUAGAUACCCGUGUAGUC